GCUGGAGCAAGAAGAUCUCAGGCUGUGACCCUCUAGAGGGAAGCACUUUAUCUUGUGUGAAAGGAAAGAAAGCGCUUCCCUUCAGAGGAUUACUCUUUGAGAAAAGCAACGUUGAAGUU
rnacentral:precursor_RNA from 8 species